rnacentral:rRNA from 1 species
CCUACGGGGGGCUGCAGUGGGGAAUAUUGCACAAUGGGCGAAAGCCUGAUGCAGCAACGCCGCGUGAGUGAUGAAGGUCUUCGGAUUGUAAAGCUCUGUCUUUUGGGACGAUAAUGACGGUACCAAAGGAGGAAGCCACGGCUAACUACGUGCCAGCAGCCGCGGUAAUACGUAGGUGGCAAGCGUUGUCCGGAUUUACUGGGCGUAAAGGGUGCGUAGGUGGAUAUUUAAGUCAGAUGUGAAAUCCCUGGGCUCAACCCAGGACCUGCAUUUGAUACUGGAUAUCUUGAGUGCGGGAGAGGUAAGUGGAAUUCCUAGUGUAGCGGUGAAAUGCGUAGAGAUUAGGAAGAACACCAGUGGCGAAGGCGACUUACUGGACUGUAACUGACACUGAGGCACGAAAGCGUGGGUAGCAAACAGGAUUAGAUACCCCGGUAGUC